CGAACGUAAGAUGACUGUAGGUGAAAGCUUACAUCUCUUCGGAGCAUUUUACGAGGUGCUGCAUGGUUGUCGUCAGCUCGUGCCGUGAGGUGUCGGGUUAAGUCCCAUAACGAGCGCAACCCCUACCUUUAGUUGCCAUCAGGUUAAGCUGGGGACGUCUAAAGGAACUGCCUACGCAAGUAGUGAGGAAGGCGGGGAUGACGUCAAAUCAGCACGGCCCUUACGUCCAGGGCUACACACGUGCUACAAUGGCCGAUACAGAGGGCAGCUACCUGGUGACAGGAUGCAAAUCUCCAAAGUCGGUCUCAGUUCGGAUCGGAGUCUGCAACCCGACUCCGUGAAGUUGGAUUCGCUAGUAAUCGCGCAUCAGCCAUGGCGCGGUGAAUACGUUCCCGGGCCUU
rnacentral:rRNA from 1 species